UGCCAGCCGCCGCGGUAAUACGAAGGGACCUAGCGUAGUUCGGAAUUACUGGGCUUAAAGAGCACGUAGGUGGUUAGAAAAGUUGGUGGUGAAAUCCCAAGGCUUAACCUUGGAACUGCCAUCAAAACUUUUUAACUAGAGUAUGAUAGAGGUAAGCGGAAUUUCUAGUGUAGAGGUGAAAUUCGUAGAUAUUAGAAAGAAUACCAAUUGCGAAGGCAGCUUUCUGGAUCAUUACUGACACUGAGGAACGAAAGCAUGGGUAGCGAAGAGGAUUAGAUA
rnacentral:rRNA from 1 species